rnacentral:tRNA from 1 species
GUUUUCGUAGUGUAGUGGUCAUCACGUUUGCCUCACAUGCAAAAGGUCCCCAGUUCGAAACUGGGCGGAAACA